rnacentral:lncRNA from 1 species
GCAUCUCUUCUGACCAUUCCAGGGCGUUUUUAUGGGACGGCCUUCCCUUGCUCACCCAGCCUCUUCUUUAUUUUCUUCUGCUUUGUGAAAGUGGGUUAAACAGCACUCGGCUUUGUGAGGAACACGGCCAACAAAUGAGAUAUCAAACGCAGCUUCCUGUGUAAGAGAUCAGACUCCGCCGGGCACACACGCCGGGCUCUGCUGGAGCUCCUGGGCUCUGCAGCCAGCUUCAUUUAGGAUUCAUAAAUACUUUUGCGCGCUCCCGCACAUACAGCCGCCGAAGGAAUUUCAUUCUGUAUCAUCUGCUUUCAAAUGCAACAAGAGAAUCUUUCCCCUGGAUCCUGUUCACCUGGAGCCAGGUCACUUCCCUUGUCAGAGAAAUUGCAUCCAUUCCCUGUUUA